UACGUAGGGGGCAAGCGUUGUCCGGAUUUAUUGGGCGUAAAGAGCGUGUAGGCGGCCUGACAGGUCUGCUGUGAAAACUCGAGGCUCAACCUCGAGAUGUCGGCGGAAACCGUCUGGCUAGAGUCCGGAAGAGGAGAGUGGAAUUCCUGGUGUAGCGGUGAAAUGCGCAGAUAUCAGGAAGAACACCGGUGGCGAAGGCGGUUCUCUGGGCCUUACCUGACGCUGAGGAGCGAAAGCGUGGGGAGCGAACAGG
rnacentral:rRNA from 1 species